CGGAUUGCAGGCUGCAACUCGCCUGCAUGAAGUCGGAAUUGCUAGUAAUCGCGGAUCAGCAUGCCGCGGUGAAUACGUUCCCAGGCCUUGUACACACCGCCCGUCACACCAUGAGAGCCGGUAACACCCGAAGUCAGUAGUCUAACCGCAAGGGGGACGCUGCCGAAGGUGGGGCUGGUGAUUGGGGUGAAGUCGUAACAAGGUAAC
rnacentral:rRNA from 1 species